rnacentral:misc_RNA from 1 species
ACUAAGGUAAUGUUUGCUGGA